GACGUAGGGCGCGAGCGUUGUCCGGAUUUAUUGGGCGUAAAGAGCUCGUAGGCGGCUUGUCGCGUCGGCUGUGAAAACCUGGGGCUCAACCCCAGGCUUGCGGUCGAUACGGGCAGGCUCGAGUUCGGUAGGGGAGACUGGAAUUCCUGGUGUAGCGGUGAAAUGCGCAGAUAUCAGGAGGAACACCGGUGGCGAAGGCGGGUCUCUGGGCCGAUACUGACGCUGAGGAGCGAAAGCGUGGGGAGCGAACAGG
rnacentral:rRNA from 1 species